rnacentral:rRNA from 1 species
AUGCCCAGCCGUAAACUUAAUUUACACCACAUACGCCAGGGCAUUACGAGCUUAGCUUAAAACCCAAAGGACUUGACGGUGUCCCACCCCACUAGAGGAGCCUGUCCUAGAAUCGAUACUACCCGCUUUACCUUACCACUUCUUGCUUGAUUCAGUUAGUAUACUUCCGUCGUAAGCUUACCACAUGAGUGACUAGUGGGCAUAAUGAUAAAUAUUCAUAAAUACGUCAGGUCAAGGUGCAGCAUAAGAAGUGGGCUGAGAUGGGCUACAAUUUCUAAUAUAGAACACACGAAACACUGAAUGAAACGCAAUUGCGAAGGUGGAUUUAGUAGUAAAAAGAGAAUAAAGUGCUUUUUUUAACAGCGGCACUGGGACGCGUACAAACCGCCCGUCACCCUCCUUAAUGGCCUUAAUAUGGUAAAUAACACAAAUCUAGCCACAAAAGGAGGUAAGUCGUAACAUGGUAAGUGUACCGGAAGGUGCACUUGGAUAG